rnacentral:rRNA from 1 species
GAUGAACGCUGGCGGCGUGCCUAAUACAUGCAAGUCGAGCGAACAGACGAGGAGCUUGCUCCUCUGACGUUAACGGCGGACGGGUGAGUAAAACGUGGAUAACCUACCUAUAAGACUGGGAUAACCUCGGGAAACCGGAGCUAAUACCGGAUAAUAUAUCGAACCGCAUGGUUCAAUAGUGAAAGACGGUUUUGCUGUCACUUAUAGAUGGAUCCGUGCCGCAUUAGCUAGCUGGUAAGGUAACGGCUUACCAAGGCAACGAUGCGUAGCCGACCUGCGAGGUGUGUCGGCCACACUGGAACUGAGACACGGUCCAGACUCCGACGGGAGGCAGAAGUAGGGAAUCUUCCGCAAUGGGCGAAAGCCUGACGGAGCAACGCCGCGUGAGUGAUGAAGGUCUUCGGAUCGUAAAACUCUGUUAUUAGGGAAGAACAAAUGUGUAAGUAACUAUGCACGUCUUGACGGUACCUAAGCAGAAAGCCACGGCUAACUACGUG